UACGGGGGGAGCAAGCGUUGUUCGGAGUUACUGGGCGUAAAGAGUGCGUAGGCGGUUUUCUAAGUUUGGUGUGAAAUCUCCCGGCUUAACUGGGAGGGUGCGCCGAAAACUGGAAGGCUUGAGUAUGGGAGAGGUAAGCGGAAUUCCUGGUGUAGCGGUGAAAUGCGUAGAUAUCUGGAGGAACACCGGUGGCGAAGGCGGCAUCCUGGACCGGUAUUGACGCUGAGGCGCGAAAGCCAGGGGAGCAAACGGG
rnacentral:rRNA from 1 species